GGAGGGUGCAAGCGUUAUCCGGAUUCACUGGGUUUAAAGGGUGUGUAGGCGGGCUGUUAAGUCAGUGGUGAAAUCUCCAGGCUCAACCUGGAAACUGCCAUUGAUACUAUCAGUCUUGAAUUUUGUUGAGGUAGGCGGAAUAUGUCAUGUAGCGGUGAAAUGCUUAGAUAUGACAUAGAACACCGAUUGCGAAGGCAGCUUACUAAACAAAUAUUGACGCUGAGGCACGAAAGCGUGGGGAUCAAACAGGAUUAGAUACCCUGGUAGUCCACGCCCUAACGAUGAUUACUCGACAUACGCGAUAUUACUGUGUGUGUCUGAGCGAAAGCAUUAAGUAAUCCACCUGGGAAGUACGUCCGCAAGGAUG
rnacentral:rRNA from 1 species